CUCAGGGGGCGGGGGUCCCUCAGCUCAGAUUGUGAGAGGGCGCAGGCCAUGCUGAGGGACCCCACCAGUGCACG
rnacentral:pre_miRNA from 1 species